AUCUAGCUGAUGAGUUCCAAAUAGGAUGAAACCAACUUCCUGGAU
rfam:Schistosoma curassoni strain Dakar, Senegal genome assembly, scaffold: SCTD_contig0025105